rnacentral:lncRNA from 10 species
CUUGUCGUGGCCGCCUUUGUUCCUUGUGGAAAAUGGAAGCAACGCUGACAUUCUCCUUCCACCUGAGAGCAAGCCUGACACCAAGAAAGCUGUGGGAAUAGGAGGGAUGGGCCCGGACACCGCCAUCUCCAAACUGCUCAAGAUGUGUCAUCUGCAUAGAUAAACUGGCACACCUGUGGAUGGGACAUCCUUUAAGUAGAUGUUAAACAAGAUCCAAGAUUGGCGUAAUGAGCCUUCAGUGGACUGUCAUGAUUAACUGCGCAUGCUGGCUGGCACACCAGAGAAAGCUGAUGAGUUGGAGGUAAAGUGAGACAAAUAUGGAAAGACAUUCCAGUUGUUUGGGGGAUUUUUGUCACUUCCUCCAGAUGGAUGAUUUUGGGUUUUUGUCCCUGGGUCUUGAUAGAUGUUCUCCACUUAACUUCCCUGAGGUUUCUGGCAGGAUGGAGGGAGGUGAUCUGCAGUCUGUUUCCCUAUUAAAAACCAUUUCCCCGGACUUGAAAAGUUGCCAACUCAGUCGUCUCUGAUUUACUGAUUUCUAACAAGUGUG